UACGGAGGGGGCUAGCGUUGUCCGGAAUUACUGGGUGUAAAGCGCACGUAGGCGGCUUUGCAAGUUAGAGGUGAAAGCCCGGGGCUCAACUCCGGAAUUGCCUUUAAAACUGCAUCGCUAGAAUUGUGGAGAGGUAAGUGGAAUUCCGAGUGUAGAGGUGAAAUUCGUAGAUAUUCGGAAGAACACCAGUGGCGAAGGCGACUCACUGGACACAUAUUGACGCUGAGGUGCGAAAGCGUGGGGAGCAAACAGG
rnacentral:rRNA from 1 species